GGCGGGCACAGCCUCAGCGCUGCUGCAGCCCCCGGGACACGUGGUGACCUCAGCAAGGGCAGCACCUGCAGCCUGGCACCCACACCUUUUUUUGCUGCCUGCUGCCACAGUGGAUUGCAGGGGCUCUGAGGACUCAAAAACAUUUGGCUGUGGCAUGACUCCCCCCAGGAGUUCUGCCCUCAGCUACGUCCUAUGGACAGCACUGCCCAGAAGUGGUGGGAGCGUCAAGGUUUCCUAUUCCCUCAAAGACACCAGCAACGUUGUCUCGGCUGAGCAGAGCAACACUUGCAGAUGAGCACAUCACCAAACCCUACCAAGAGGAAAGAGCUCUUGUUUUUGGGAAGGAUGGGACAAAAACUGCUCUUGAGGCCUCGGCUGUGCCCACCAAGCAGAGCCCCGCCACCUGCCAGCCCCUGCCAUGCCAGCACGGAGCCUGUCAUGCUGCUCUGCUCCCACUUCCCCAUGCCGCAGGGAGACAGAUGGCGCAGAGGAAUUGCAACCAGCUCCUGGGCAGCCUCACUCAAGGAACGUUUGCAGUGACAGAGGAGCAGACUGAAAGAAAGGCAUCAUACAGCAAGAUUUUGAUAAAUUUUGCAGAAUACCCAGUGACCUUUAAUACCAAGGAAUUGGGGAGCAGAUUGGCAGGGGAUGUAUAGAGCAAACAUUUUGCUUCGUGCGCCGUCUAUGCAGCAGGAAUGUUGAACAAUUGCAGACUGCCCACCCUCCUGUCAUUUAAAAGUUCAGCUGUUUUCCCUGUGAAUCACAAGGUGCUGAACUUGCCUACCAGCCCAGGGCAGCGAUGUAGCAGCGGGCUGAGCCCUGCACAAAGUCCCACUGCCUUAUCAGUGCUCUCCAAACACCCAUGUCCAUUAGUGGAUCACAAUGCAGGACUGGGAUUUUUGUGCUGUCUGCCAUGAAGUAGACUUACUUCCAUUAGAAAUGCUACAGCUGUGAAUCCAAGAAAGAUUAGCCUGUGUUUACAGGGGAGAAGAAAUGAAAAAGCUGAAUGGAUGUUUCUGUCAUGCCCAGAGCUCUGAGCAUGGCAAGCACCUAUAGAGGCUGCAACCCAGAGCCAAAGAAAACAUCCUCUAUAUUACUCAGCUUCUUACCAUGGAAGCAUUUAACAUGUGAAAUGUAUUACAUUCAUAGUAAAGCAAGUCCAGACUGAUCCACUUUUACACAGGACAAAGAGUUCACAAAUGGCAAAUUCCCACUCUGCAAACCUCCCAGAAGCUGUAGAAAAAGAAAAGAUGUCUCAGACAGGUGGUCCGAUAGAUCACCAUCCAGAUGGAACUGAAAGCACCCCAUGGCUUUGGGGAUAGAGAUGCGUAGCCUUAACUAUACUAAAUGUUAAGUUCUCCACAGCCAGAACAUACUCAUAACAAAUGGGGAUCCCUGCUGAAACCGUAACAAAGGAGCAUCUAGCUGCAAAGCACACAAAGCAAGACCCCACAGAAGAUGAGCAGAGGAAACUUGCGGUGUUCGACUGCACAAGCAGCAGGGACACUCAUUGCCCAAACCGCCCCAGCUCCAAUGAAGGAGCUGGACUCAUUUCUCCCAGUUGAGUCCAUCUUUCUCUUGAAAAUGCAUGAAGAGCCUUCCUAACAAAUCAUCCCCUUCCUUGUGAAAUUGCUUAAUCAAGAUUUCCCCAUGCAGCUGGCUUAUUUGCAUCCUUCCUAUUGCAUUAAUAUAUGCAAACGGAUGGCACUGCUGAUGCAAGCAAAGGAAUAAAAGGUCACUGAAGCAAGUUUAAUUAAAAAGA
ensembl:lncRNA